rnacentral:rRNA from 1 species
GUGACUAUGCGACGCCGCGUGGGCGAUGAAGGCCUUCGGGUUGUAAAGCCCUGUCAGCUACUAGGAAACGUAGGCGGUGAAUAACUGUCCUGCCUGACUGGGUAGCAGAGGAAGCACCGGCUAAAUACGUGCCAGCAGCCGCGGUGAUACGUAUGGUGCGAACGUUGUUCGGAAUCACUGGGCCUAAAGAGCGCGUAGGCGGCCAUGCAAGUCAGAUGUGAAAUACCUCGGCCUAACCGAGGAACUGCAUUUGAAACUGCGUGGCUUGAGUGCAGGAGGGGAGAGUGGAAUUCCUGGUGGAGCGGUGAAAUGCGUAGAUAUCAGGAGGAACGCCGGUGGCGAAAGCGGCUCUCUGGUCUGCUACUGACGCUGAGGCGCGAAAGCUAGGGGAGCAAACGGGAUUAGAUACCCCGGUAGUCCUAGCCCUAAACGAU